AUCUUUACAGCAUGCUAACAAUUCCACAGUAUCUGUUCUUUUCAGUUUAAUCGCUGAAACUCGCCCACGGGCGAUUUACGAUUAUACUUAUUUUUCGCACCAGCGAGGUGCUCCCUGAGCUUCCUCACAGCAUCCUUGCACCGUGUCCUUGGCCUUGCACUGCCGCCUUGCGACGCGAAGAACG
rnacentral:snRNA from 1 species